AGAGUUUGAUCAUGGCUCAGGAUGAACGCUAGCGGCAGGCUUAAUACAUGCAAGUCGUGGGGCAGCAGGUCCGUCGCAAGACGGAUGCUGGCGACCGGCAAACGGGUGCGGAACACGUACGCAACCUUCCUUUAACUGGAGAAUAGCCCCUCGAAAGAGGGAUUAAUACUCCGUAACAUAUAUAUGUGGCAUCACACGUAUAUUAUAGCUCCGGCGGUUAAAGAUGGGCGUGCGCCUGAUUAGAUAGUUGGCGGGGUAACGGCCCACCAAGUCUGCGAUCAGUAACUGGUGUGAGAGCACGACCAGUCACACGGGCACUGAGACACGGGCCCGACUCCUACGGGAGGCAGCAGUAAGGAAUAUUGGUCAAUGGACGCAAGUCUGAACCAGCCAUGCCGCGUGGAGGAUUAAGGCCCUCUGGGUUGUAAACUCCUUUUAUCUGGGAAGAAAUCCAUGAAUUCUUUCAUGGUUGACGGUACCAGAGGAAUAAGCACCGGCUAACUCCGUGCCAGCAGCCGCGGUAAUACGGAGGGUGCAAGCGUUAUCCGGAUUCACUGGGUUUAAAGGGUGCGUAGGCGGGCAGGUAAGUCCGUGGUGAAAUCUCUGAGCUUAACUCAGAAACUGCCAUGGAUACUAUUUGUCUUGAAUGUUGUGGAGGUAAGCGGAAUAUGUCAUGUAGCGGUGAAAUGCUUAGAUAUGACAUAGAACACCAAUUGCGAAGGCAGCUUACUACACAAAUAUUGACGCUGAGGCACGAAAGCGUGGGGAUCAAACAGGAUUAGAUACCCUAGUAGUCC
rnacentral:rRNA from 1 species